rnacentral:rRNA from 1 species
UCGAGAAUCUUUCACAAUGGGCGAAAGCCUGAUGGAGCGACGCCGCGUGGAGGUUAAGGUCUUCGGAUUGUAAACUCCUGUCAUGCGAGAACAAAGCCCGCAAGGGUCUGAUAGUAUCGCAAGAGGAAGAGACGGCUAACUCUGUGCCAGCAGCCGCGGUAAUACAGAGGUCUCAAGCGUUGUUCGGAAUUACUGGGCGUAAAGGGUGCGCAGGCCGCGCGGGCAGUCAAAUGUGUAAUCCAGGGGCUCAACCCCUGAACUGCGCUUGAUACUUCCGCGCUCGAGCUUUGGAGAGGAGUCUGGAAUUCUCGGUGUAGCAGUGAAAUGCGUGGAUAUCGAGAAGAACACUUAGGGCGUAGGCAAGACUCUGGACAAAUGCUGACGCUCAUGCACGAAGGCUAGGGUAGCGAACGG